UUUUUUUUUUUAAACUAAAGAAUGUUUAUGUUCCUUAACAUGACCUUCCAGUGGAAUUUCAUAAUGUUUAGCUUCUUAAAUCUUACUGGAAAUACCAAUCAGAAUAUUUUUACAUGUGCAUCAUGUUCCUUACAACAACUGUGCCAAAGAAGGAAAAAUUGUUAUUCCUCGAAUUCAUCUUUAGGAAAUAUAUUGUGGAUAUUCUGUUUGUUCCCCAUCCUUGUAAAAUUAAUUAGGUGUUUGUCUAUAAUUGUUGUUUUUGAAGGGUUUUCAAAGAUCACAGUGUCCCUACAUAAAUCUUUUAGAUACAAACAAAUGGAGAACAGUUUAGAGUACUUUUAUUUUCUUGUCUCGGGUACCAAUAAAAGGAGAGGAAAUAAAAGGUGAAAAGGUAUGUAGAGCAACAACCUUUUCUUCUGCUAUCAAGAGAUUCCUUCCCUGUACCAGCUUCAGCUGGCUUCAGUAAGCACUCACACUGUGGACCGUGCUUACCUGUCCUCAUUCAAAAUCAGCUUGGCCAGGGGCACCCGGAUGGCUCAGUGUUUGAGUGCCUUUGGCACAGGUCGUGAUCCUGGGGUCUCAGGAUCAAGUCUCACAUCAGGCUUCUCAAGGGAGACUGUUUCUCCCUUUGCUUGUGUGUGUCUCUCUCUCUGUGUCUCUUAUGAAUAAAUAAAAAUAAAAUCAGCUUGGCCAGUUCCCUUAUAUACUACAAACCGAGGAUUACUAGCUGUGUCCAGCUCUCACCUUCUGACUCUCCAUCAUCUGAAAUACAUCCCAGAUGUCAUGAAGGAGACAGUAACUCCAACAUGCUCGGUAACCUUGGCCUGUUUUCAUCCUCCUGCCACUAACCCUGAGGGGAGGAUAUUUCUGCUGACAGUUUGUAUCUUCCACUUACUAUAACAGAAGGCUUUUCCUUCACGUGAGGUGAAGCCCAUUUCCCAUGGCCUCAUCUAUGCUUUUCAAGUAUUCCCUCUUCUUUACCUUAUCUUCUAAGAUUCUCUGAAGUGCCUUAAAAGUAAAUAAACCUUUUUCCUUUUCAGAAGUGACUUAUUUUUCACUAUGUUGAUAAUUCUUGGGUUCUUUGAGAAGUUGUGAGUUAAUCACCAUGAAACACAUAAACUUGAGAAAGUGGCUUUAUGAAGAAUUAUCAACAGAAUAUCAAUAAAAAAUUGUGGGGGGGAAGAUUGGUUACUUAAUCAGUCUAGGAGUAAUGGGGAAAAUUUGGAUUUUUUAUUUUGGAGAGAGAGGGGUGCUUAAGGAAAGGCACAACAGGAUAUGAAAGAUGUUAAAAAAUAAAAUAAAAAAAUUAAACCUCAGAUCCAUAAACAAAGAAAAAUUAAAAAUUUAUGGUCUAUUCUUCAGGGGUAGAAUGGGCCAACCUUUUCCACUGAGGACAUCUAAACACUGUCCUGCGUGGUAUGGAAAUAUUUACAGCAGGUUUAUUAUUACUUUGUGGCAUUUUUAUUAAGAAUUUUGUGUUUGUUUUUGAUCAGCUAUAAAUACAAGAAAAUCAUCAGUGCAGACAAAGGCUGCAAAGGCCUUUUUUGCGCUCAUUUAUUUCUCUCCUCAUAGCUGAGCAGCAUGGACAUAAUUGAUCAGUUGUCAGGGAUAUUGAAUUAGCCCUUUAAUUUACCUAUCUUUUUCAUUCUGUAGUGAUUACAUUUUUUUCUUACAAUUCUUCCAUUACCCAUCUGUUAUGUCAUACUCCCUAUUUUUUCCAUUAGAGUCCUUAGCAUACUAAUAAUAUUGGUUUUAAAUUCAUAUUCUGGGGCACCUGGGUGGCUCAGUCACUGAAGCAUCUAACUCUUAGUUUUGGCUCAGGACAUGAUCUCAGGGUCUUGAGAUCAAGCCCUGAUUAGGGCUUUGUUCUCAGCAGGGAGUCUGCUUGAGAUUUUGUCUGUGCCUCUGCCUCUCCCCCUCCUCCCUGAUCACUUGCUCUCUCUCUAAAAUAAAUAUUUAAAUUCAUAAUCUAAUAAAUUCAACAACCCUGUUAUAUCAUGAUCUGGUUCUGCUGUUUGCUCUCUUCACCACAUUUACCUUUUAUUAGGUCUUGUAGUUUUGUUGUUGAUAGGUAAACAUGAUGCACUAGAUAGGUUUUAGUAAUGCAGUGGUAAUAUGUAGAGGAAUGGAAAGCAUUCUAUAUUCCUGUGAUAAAUCUCAGUCUUUUGGUUGGCUUCUGCCCCUGAACUGGGAAUACAACCAUUGCUUCUCAGUGCUCACCCACCUUAGGUUGACAGGACGGCCAGAGACAGCUAGAGUGUUUUUUGUUGUUGUUGUUUUGUUUUUUUAAGAUUUUAUUUAUUUAUGAAAGAGAGAGAGAGAGAGAAAGGCAAAGAGAGAAGCAGGCUCCAUGCAGGGAGCCUGACGUGGGACUCGAUCCUGGAUCUCCAGGAUCACACCCUGGGCAGAAGGCAGCACCUUAACCGCUGAGCUACCCGGGCUGCCCCAGAGACAGCUAGAGUUGUGUCCCCCAUCAGGUUCUGCUAAAGACCUUAUUCCUAAGGGCAAACCUUGCUAAGAGGAACAUUGUUCACUGGUAUAUUUCAAAAUGAUUGAUUUCCCCCUCUUCCUGCUAGAAUCAAGAGGAGACUUUUCUCUGAUAUUCUCUGUGAGAACCUGAUUAAGCUUCUAGAGGUAAAAAUCCAAACAGUAUGCCUCCCUCAGUGAGUGGGAACCCUUGUUUAUUUCACAGGCUCAUCAUUCAC
rnacentral:lncRNA from 1 species